UGCGCUGCUGUGUUCUGCUACUAGGCUGGUGGAUUUCCUCCCAGCCUCAUCCCUCUGCAGCAACAUCUCCUACUCUUGCAGCUUCGUGGGGCUCUGCUGCCCUUGGCCCCACGAUUCCACUUCUUUCUCACCCACCGAGGCCUGCAUGCCUUCAGAUGCCACAAGCAAGACUUCAACCCCCUGCGUGGCAAGUCCCUGCCCGUCUCUCCUCUCUGACCUCCGUGAGUGGGUGGCUCCACCUCUGAGCUGCCGAAUUUGGGUGCCUGUGGUGCUAGGGAGCGGCUUAUGGCUGCUUGGCCCAGGACUUCCAUUUUGCAGGGAGCAAGUUUCCCCUCUGAAGGCCCUGAGGAUGCCCUGGAGGUGGUGACCUGAGCCUCUCUUGCCCGUUAGUUUCCAGCACGUUGACACCAUCCUGGGCACUCGGCCUUGGAGUGGCUUCUGGAACAAGCUGUGGCAUGUCCUCUCGUGGGGCAGAGACGGGAUUUCCCCUGCUCGCUUGCAAGAGGAGUGUGAGGCUGGCUUGUGACACCUCUGGGUGAGGUGACUGAGGUGUGGUGUGGCACAGACCACUGCUCCCCAGGAUUCUGAGGCUCAGCCACAGCCAGGGAGCAGGUGUGUGUGUGGACCAUUCUGGGCAGCUGCUGCUGGCCAAGGAGGCCUGGGACAGCAGGAUGCAACUGCGCUCUGUCUGUAACCCCACUGGUGCCCAAAAGUCUGGUGGUCUGGGUCAGGAAAGCAGGGAUGUAGGCAAGGUGGUGGCAGGUGCAAAGAGCCCUUCCCUGGAAGUCAGAAGAAAGUCAAAUGGCUGUUAACUGUGGAUGCCCUUGCCAUGUGCAGUGGGAGAGUACAUCAGCAAGCAAACUGGCCUCAAGAAUCCCGCCCUAUCCUGGGCAUCUGGGGUUGAGGCUGGCUGUGCCAACCUUUGCACAGGGUUUCAAUCUGACCUCACAUAGAAAACGGAGCCACUUGCUUAGAGUCCCUCUCUCUGAACACGCUCUCCCCUCUGAAGGAAAAGCAUUGCAAUCCCAAGCUCCUGCUGCCACCAUUCAUCUGCAUCUUAUUCAUCUUUGAAGCUCCUGCAAUGCCUCCAACGGGGCCACAACUAAAGGAAGCGCUCAGAACGCCCAGCUCUCCCCACUGCAGAAGGCGCUCCCUGGAAGGGCACAGGUGGAGGACGUUUGCAUUUAUCUGGAGACAGUUCAUGGAGAAAUACAAAGAGGUGUCCUGACAAGACAACAGGUCCACAGCAAUCGUCAUCAUGAGCGCUCACCAUAUGCCAGGGAUCAUCUUUUAAAAUCCUUAAGCAAACAACCAAACUGUGGUUGGGAUUAUUCUGUUUUUAUAGGUGAGAAAACUGAGGCUGAAAGCCAUUGGGUGGUUUGCCAAAGCUGGGAAGUAGCUGAGCUGGGGUUUGUACUCACACUGCGGUGACUUGGAAGCCCAAGCCGGUUCUGACACACUGCCUUCCCAUGACAUUCCCACGACGGGUUCCCGAGGUCGUUGGAAUGCUUACACAUUUCAGCAACUUCAUGGCAACUGCCCAGCUCGACCCAGAAGAUAAUACUACCUUAUACUCCCCCUGCCGCUUCCUUCCGCCAGGCAGCUCACAGACAUGACCUCAUUCCCUCGCCCAGAGUCCCAUAGGGGUGAAGGACGGGGUGGGGAUCAUUAACUUUGCUUCCUAGGGAGGAAAGGGAGGCCCAGAGAGGGACGCUGGCCCACCCUGGGUCAUCCAGCCAGCUAGCGGGAGAGCUGCAACUGGAAAUCAGGCUUCCCUGACCUUGGGAACAGUUAUUUAACCUCCUGGAUGUGAGCUAGAAUCACCCCUAAGAUGCAGCAAUUGGGGUACUCCUCUUGGGGUACUGGGACUCAGUGGCUGAAACGGCUCCAAAAGAGUUGGGCCUGUGCUGAAAACAGAAAUCCGAGAUGCAUAUAAAUUCAAUCCGUAUGAAAAGAGCAGGGUGGCCUAGGAGGAGCGGUCACUGCAGUGGCUCCACCUCCUACCCAGCCGCCUGCAGCCCUGCCUGGGCUGCUGUUGGUUUCUCUGUACCCAGCUUCCCUGGCCGGAUGCCCUGGGGGCCAGAGCAGCCGCGGGUGCGAUGGAAAGAACACUGGCCUUGAGGUCAUGGGACCUGGGGAGGAUAUUCACCAGGGGCCCCUAAGUUAGUCAUUUUAGCUCUCAGCUUUUCCAUUUUUCAUUCAAAAAAUGGGGACUCUAACUCCGUGAAAGAGACAUUGUGUGUGAAAUAUUUCAUCAUAAGCUGUGAAGCCUGCAAAGAGAGAAACUCCUGGUGUUCUCUGUAGCCUGAUUUCAUCUCUACUAAACGCUAUUUUGAAAAUGCUUUUGAAGCUGGUGGGUCACAUAGAAGGAUGGCCUGAGCGUCCAUCCAUCUUCCCUCCGGUGACCCUUUCACUUCGUGUCUGUGGUACCCAGUGCCUGGUACUGAAUGUUCCUGGGUGGCCCCGUGGUUCGGCAAACUUUCUGGAAAGGCCCAGGUAGUAAAUAUUUGAGGCCUGGUUGGCCACAUAUGG